rnacentral:rRNA from 1 species
GACGAACGCUGGCGGCGUGCCUAAUACAUGCAAGUAGAACGCACAGUUUAUACCGUAGCUUGCUACACCAUAAACUGUGAGUUGCGAACGGGUGAGUAACGCGUAGGUAACCUGCCUGGUAGCGGGGGAUAACUAUUGGAAACGAUAGCUAAUACCGCCUAAUAUUGAUUAUUGCAUGAUAAUUGAUUGAAAGAUGCUAUUGCAUCACUACCAGAUGGACCUGCGUUGUAUUAGCUAGUAGGUGAGGUAACGGCUCACCUAGGCGACGAUACAUAGCCGACCUGGGAGGGUGAGCGGCCACGCUGGGACUGGGACACGGCCCAGACUCGUACGGGAGGCAGCAGUAGGGAAUGGUCGGCAAUGGACGAAAGUCUGACCGGGCAACGCCGCGUGGGGGAAGAAGGUUUUCGGAUCGUGAAGCUCUGUUGUAAGAGAAGAGCGGGUGUGAGAGUGGAAAGUUCACACUUUGACGGUAUCUGACCAGAAAGGGACGGCUAACUACGUG